UUACCCAGACGUGUUGAAAUUUUAUUCUGUAAACUCUGAUCAAAGGUUUUUUUUUUUUUAUUGUACCAAGCAGGAUGUAGGUGGAUCGUGCCCCUCAACCCCGAAUACAUCCCAUAUAAGAGGAGAAUUAAGACUGACUAACCAGUAUGUUCUUUUUAAUAGCAACGAUGAACAACGCUUCACUGGAAUCUGUGAUUGCUUUAGACCCCAGGCCAAAUGACCCAAAGGAUGUUUAAAUUGACCCAUUCAGUGCCCCCUCUACAAGUCUUACCUUUGGCUAUUUAAACACAGCUCAGAUACUGAAUACCUGAUGACCCCUGAAGAAGAGGCUGACUACACAAAGGAACUUGAACUUGAUAUGUUUCCCUCCGAAACUUGCAUUUCUCAAACAAUAAUCCCCCUAUUCCUAAUAUACAAGCAGUUAAGGUUCAAGUCCAUCAGCCCCAAGAAGGUU